GGGCAGGACCCGGCUCUUUCCCCGCGCGCGGUCCCUUCAUCCAGUUCCCCCAGCUCCGUGGACCCCAGAGUGUUGGCAGCAGGCGCCGCCAGGGUUGUUUAUUGAUUAUUUCGUCAACUAAUCUAUCUCUGCUGCUGCUGCUGCUAAGUCGCUUCAGUUGUGUCCGACUCUGUGCGACCCCAUGGACUGCAGCCUACCAGGCUUCUCAGUCCAUGGGAUUCUCCAGGCAAGAACACUGGAGUGGGUUGCCAUUUCCUUCUCCAAUGCAUGAAAGUGAAAAGUGAAAGUGAAGUCGCUUAGUCGUGUUCGACUCUUCGCGACCCCAUGGACUGCAGCCUACCAGGCUCCUCCGUCCAUGGGAUUUUCUGGGCAAGAGUACCGGAGUGGGGUGCCAUUGUCUUCUCCGAAUCUCUCUCUACCAAACAUAUAUUCAUCUCUUUGUUUUUGUCUGUCUCCCACACUAGGAAAUGGGAGACCUCAUGUAUCUCAUUUACCACCAGCACCAAAUACAAUGCCUGAUAUAUAGGUCGGCUCUGAGGCUUGGUCAAGGUCAUACAACCAGUAACUGGCAUGGCUAGAGCUUGAAUCCAGUUCUACCUGAUUGUAAACCCUGAGCUUUUAACCAUGACACCACCCUUGCCUGGACUUGGCAGCAGGGUUUGCAAACUGGAUCCAUAUGGAUUAUAU
ensembl:lncRNA